CGACAGAGGAUGAGAUGGUUGGAUGGCAUCACUGACUCGAUGGACAUGAGUUGGAGUGCUGACAUUUCAUGAAGACUUGACAGAAACAUCCCUUUUAAUUCUCAGAAGCAGGCCACAAGUCACAGAGCUGUCCCGGACCAUCCUCUCAUCUGAAAGAAGAGUUGUCAUUUUUUGCUGCAUUGCCGCCUGAUGAAUGGCUUUGCAGGAUUGUUCUGCUAUCUGAGCAGCUCCUACUCCAGGUAUGAAAAAUCUAAUUUCACUCCCUAGGCCUUUUUCCCAUAAUGUCCCUUCUGCUUCAACAGAUUCCACUCAGACACAUUAAAAUGGGACUCAUAAUAUCGAUUUAUUAUCUUAGCAAUCUCAGUAAACAGGGCAGUCUCAUUGUUUUUUUUUUUCUUCAGAGAUAAGGCAGGCCUAGCAUCUUCCUUAAAAGAACAUACUGUAUGGCCUCAUGUUACAAAAAUUGUAGCUUGGUUCAAAUUCCCACUGAUAGUCCUUCAGUUUUUCUUGUAAGGAGAUAACUUAUUAUGGAGAAAUGGUGUUACAUAAAUAAAAUAAAGCUAGAAUGUUAAUAUUAGGAGACAGUUCUGAACUUGGAAGCACAGUGCUGAUGUUACAUACUGAAUUUUUCUUAUCUCCUCCUUCUCAGCAUCUUCAUACUACUUCUCUCUGUCUCUCUGUUACAUGUUGGCAUAUACAAAUCGAAGGUGUGAUGCAGCUGAUAGUACCUGCAGAAGUCGAGGGCCUUCUCUUGGAUAAAGAGAUUUGGGUCUGCCCAUCGUAAUUCCACAAUAGGAAUUUUGAACCAAACAAAAAAUUCUGAUUCUAAGUGACAUAGAAUGGAUGCAACCUAGGGCUGCAGGACUUGGGAGCCCAAUUCUUUUUUGGGAAAAUACUGUUUGUUAUAUUGUGAUUCUCUUCUGUAGCCCUAGCCUUCUUAUCUUUGAGGCUUUGUAUAUGGAUGGUCGGAGUAAAUUAAGCAGGAAGUGAAGUCUGGUAGCAGCCUAGGAAGGUAGUUAUGAGACGAGAGAGGUGACCUGCUGAGAGCUGAGCCUGGCUUCCUGCUGCUCCCUGAGAACAGACAGUGGCCAGUGCAGAGGUGGGAGCAGGCAAGUAGUCCUCAAGGAUUCUCAGAGGUACCUGGAAGAAUAACCUGGAAAAAGAUAAACUUCCUUUUUGUUAAACGUGGCAUGAGCUCUGACCUUAUUGGCCUUGGAAGACUAGCAAGGUCUCUGAGCUCUGACUUGCCCAGAAUAAACCCUGCUGAACCCAUGUCCAGGAAUGGGGCCAUUUCCCACCUCCC